CCUUUUACAGAGGGAUAGCCCAGAGAAAUUUGGAUUAAUACCUCAUAGUAUUACGACUCGGCAUCGAGAUGUAAUUAAAGUCACAACGGUAAAAGAUGAGCAUGCGUCCCAUUAGCUAGUUGGUAAGGUAACGGCUUACCAAGGCUACGAUGGGUAGGGGUCCUGAGAGGGAGAUCCCCCACACUGGUACUGAGACACGGACCAGACUCCUACGGGAGGCAGCAGUGAGGAAUAUUGGACAAUGGGCGCAAGCCUGAUCCAGCCAUGCCGCGUGCAGGAUGACGGUCCUAUGGAUUGUAAACUGCUUUUAUACGAGAAGAAACACUACUUCGUGAAGAGACUUGACGGUACUGUAAGAAUAAGGAUCGGCUAACUCCGUGCCAGCAGCCGCGGUAAUACGGAGGAUCCAAGCGUUAUCCGGAAUCAUUGGGUUUAAAGGGUCCGUAGGCGGUUUAGUAAGUCAGUGGUGAAAGCCCAUCGCUCAACGGUGGAACGGCCAUUGAUACUGCUAGACUUGAAUUAUUAGGAAGUAACUAGAAUAUGUAGUGUAGCGGUGAAAUGCUUAGAGAUUACAUGGAAUACCAAUUGCGAAGGCAGGUUACUACUAAUGGAUUGACGCUGAUGGACGAAAGCGUGGGUAGCGAACAGGAUUAGAUACCCUGGUAGUCCACGCCGUAAACGAUGGAUACUAGCUGUUGGGAGCAUCUCAGUGGCUAAGCGAAAGUGAUAGUAUCCCACCUGGGGAGUACGUUCGCAAGAAUGAAACUCAAAGGAAUUUGACGGGGGC
rnacentral:rRNA from 1 species